GUCCUCAAUCAGAAGGAGGGUGAGGGGUCUCUGGAGUAACGGUUAUGCCAUUCUGCAGCCUUAUCUCAUGACUGAUCACUUCCAAAAGCUCACGUUCUAAUCCUGUCACCUUGGGGGUGAGCAUUUCAACGUGUGAAUCUCCGGGACACACAUUCAGUCCACAGCACCAGGGAGAAAGGAAAGGCUGGAAGGAGAGCCCACUCCCCCACCAGGAGCUUGGCCCUGAGCUGCCCCAGCCAUGCAGAAGUGUGUGUGCAUUGUGUGUGCUCGAAUACGUGCCCCACCCCCUCCCGGACAGGGCCGUGGAGGGUGCAGAGAAGAUGGCUGUGCGGGCCAGCCCCUUGCAGGGCCUCCUGGACCUGGGAGAAGCAAUGCCCCCACAGCCUCCAGGAGUGGCCUGCCCUCCUGACCCUCUUCACUGCUGCCUGCUCCGCUGCAUCUCCAAACACCACUGCCAGCCUUCAGGCUGGAUUUUCUGCCUCCUUCACAGGACCCCUGUUGUUCCUUAUUUCCCUGCAACGUAUUUGUUGAAGACAGUGGGAUAUUCACACUACAGAGCUUCCGGAGGCACUGUGCCCAGGGUGUCCUUCACACCACGGGAGGCCACAGGAUGCAGUGGCUGGCCAUGGACCUUGCCUAUUCCUGGCUGGAAUCCACUGCAAAGAGAACUUUCAUGGAGCUGCUGUCUGUUCAAAGGGGUACAGGUGGAGGAGGAGCAGACACAAUUUCCUGAGGAAAGCAAAUGUCACUGUGUCCCUUGAGUUGCCAGCUUCCACAGGGAUGUCCCGCCAUGAGCCCUCCUCCCAGGGGCUUUCACAGCUGGGUGGGCUGGCAUCCUGGGUGCAGUUUAACUGAAGGGGGUGUUCUCACAGCCAUCUCCCAAGGCCUGGGGGAUGGUGGGCCCGGAGGCCUCAGACCUGCACCUGCUGCCCAGGCGAUGGGGUGGCUGGGCCCCGGGUGCCCACAAACUAUAGGCAAAAAAAACUGUAAGUCAGUCCUGCAGGGUUUCCUGAACAUUUUAUGAUCCCCAAGUCGUAUCUGAACAUGUCAAGAAUCUCUGGUGCCUUGGCUUGGGUGUAAAGAUGAAGUUCUUUCCUCCUCUGUAUUCCAGGAGGAAAGAGGGUUUUCAUUCCCUUCUGAAUGUUAGGAGGGAAGGCAUUUUCCAUCCUUGACCAGCUUGUAGAUGACACACAUUCAGCAAACGCACAUCCCAGCAGCACCGAGAGAACACACAGCUGGGUUGCUUACAAAUACACUACUUCAAAGUAAACUUUCUCUAGUAGCAUAUCAGAAGCAAAGUAAAAUCUAUUUGGAGCAAGUAAAUCUGACUGCUACCCCACUAUUUUGAAGCAUACAUGGGAAGCUGGUUCCUGGACCCCCGCAUAUACCAAAAUCUGUGCAUACUCAAGUUCUACGGUCAGCCCUGUGGAACCCAAGCAUAGGACAAGCCGGCCCUCCCUAUACACACAGGUUUGACAUCCUGAGAACACUGCUGGUUCCCUUCCCAUUUGGUUCCAGAAAAUCUGCGUAUAAGUGGACUCAGUGGUGCAAACCUAUGUUGUUCAAGGGUCAACUAUAUAUGAUGAAUUAUUGUUACCUACAGUCACUCUACCAUGCUACUAAACACUAGAACUGAUUCAUUUUCUCUGACUGUGUGUCUCUACCCAUUAACCAGCCCCUCUUCAUCUCCCUUCCCGCUUCCCUCCCCAGCCUCUGGUAACCAUCAUUCAGUUCUCUACCUCCGUGAAAUCAACAUGAGUAAGAACUGGUGAA
ensembl:lncRNA OBSCN-AS1 OBSCN antisense RNA 1